rnacentral:rRNA from 1 species
AACGCGAAGAACCUUACCAGCCCUUGACAUGUCCCGUAUGAGAACCAGAGAUGGAUCUCUUCAGUUCGGCUGGCGGGAACACAGGUGCUGCAUGGCUGUCGUCAGCUCGUGUCGUGAGAUGUUGGGUUAAGUCCCGCAACGAGCGCAACCCUCGCCCUUAGUUGCCAUCAUUCAGUUGGGCACUCUAGGGGGACUGCCGGUGAUAAGCCGCGAGGAAGGUGGGGAUGACGUCAAGUCCUCAUGGCCCCUACGGGCUGGGCUACACACGUGCUACAAUGGCGGUGACAAUGGGAUGCGAAGGGGCAACCCGGAGCUAAUCUCAAAAAGCCGUCUCAGUUCGGAUUGCACUCUGCAACUCGAGUGCAUGAAGUCGGAAUCGCUAGUAAUCGUGGAUCAGCAUGCCACGGUGAAUACGUUCCCGGGCCUUGUACACACCGCGUGUCU